rnacentral:lncRNA from 1 species
AUCGUGAUAUGGAAGGUUAUUUUUUGUUAAUGAUAGCAUUGUCAUUGUCAAGGGAUUAAAUUCCACAGUGAAUGAACAUGGUUUAGUUCAAGUAAUGGAUAUAGAACAAUUGGAUUGUAUUGCAUUUCAAAUUCAGGAUAAAAGUUUUUUAAAAGGAUGCAGGUAGGGUUAUUAUGGUAUAUUUACACGAUAUAAAAUGGUAUUAAUAUAUUAAACAUCAUAAACAGGACAACCAUAUUAUUAUGGCAUAUAAACAUGAUAAAUAUGAUAUACAAUGAAUAUCUUGGACUAUUAUCAGUGGCGGAUCCAGGGGGGGUUCCGGGGGUGCGCACCCCCCCUUUAUUUUUGCCGAUCAAUGCAUUUGUAUCGGGACAUAUGUUUUGCACCCCCCUUUGAUUACCCUGGAUGCAAAUGGGUUAUAUUGGCACCCCCUUUCGAUUAAUUCCUGCAUCCGCCCCUGAUUAUACUAACUACAUGUAUAUCAUGUAUAUCAUAAUAGAAAAAGUAUCAAAUAUUGGAAUAAUAAAACACAAAAUGAAUCAAAUAGUUUGAAUUAGAUUGUUUUGAAUUUCCUGGAGUUUCUUUUUAAUAAUAAAAACAAGUCAGGCCUUACUUUAAAAAAAAGAUUUAAUUUGUCAUUUAGUCAGAGAGAUAGCUUUGAAUAGGAUAAAAAAUAAUUGAAUUAAGUCAACGAAUUGCAUGCUGGGUAAAAAUAUUUUUGUACAGGAUUGUAUUAAUAUGUUUGUUUUGUUUUAAAAGCCAGAUAUAUGAUUAUAUACUGUUUGUUUUCUCACAGACAAUGGCAGAAGAUCUUUGUGGCUUUAAAAACCUAGCAUCAACUAGUUACUGGUAACAUGCAUGGUAACGGAAAAGCAAAACCUGUAAAAAGAAGACUGAUUUAUUUGUACUUUAUAAAACAACUUUUAUUAUACAUUGUAUUUAUGUGUGACCACAUUGCUAUAUUUUUAUAACCCUUCGUGGCAAAAGGGGCAUUAAAUUUUACACUUGUCCGUCUGACGUCUGUACAUUUCUUUAAACUUGAGUUUGCUUCAACCAAAUGUUAUGAAACUUAUACACAACUCUUUCUACCAAAAACAUGUUUAUGGAUAUUUCCGUUUAUUUUUCAGCAUGUCUUAGGAGUUAUUCGAAGAUAAUCAAUAUUUUGAACAAGUGGACAACAGAUAGUAUUAGAUGAAAUUUUGACCAAUCACCUACAACGAUUGAUAUAUGCAAGGACAAAGAGCAUGGCAUUGAGUAGAAACGAUCUGAUAGGUAUUCUUGUGGUUCCAGCAACGCUUGCACUGCUUUUCGUGUUUUUAGCUGUCUACUUCUUCAUAAAACACUGGCUUAUCAAAAUUAUGAUGUGUUUUUGGCGCAGAGGAAUGUGUUUAUCGUGUCAAAUGAAUAGUUGUGAAAAAUUAAUGGAAGAAGAAAAUGAAAUAUAUGUGACAGACACAGAAUUUCUUCACCCAGAAAAGUCAGUGCCACAUACAUUGUCUGUAGAGUUGACAGUGUCAGGAUCUCCAUGUAGUGGACGUGAUCGGAGUAAUAAUGUGUAGUAUGAAAAAAAAAUGGCAGCAAACAUCAAAGCUCUAUCGAAAUCAUUCCUUUGUUUAUUCCUAGUUGCCAUAGAAGAGGUGGUUUAAAACAAUUUCAAUAAGAUUUAUGAAUUGAAUAGAUAAC